GAGAGAGAGAGGAAGCAGUUGGAAUGCACACACUCAGAGGUAAAUAAUAGCAAAAAAUGAGUAGUCGCCUUCCGUUCACACCCACUUGACUGGUAUUGAUUCAAGAUUCAGCUGGAUGCUGGGUGGCAGAAGGAAGGGAAGGUAUUAGCUGUUGCCUGAGGACCAAGAGGGACCAUCUAAUGGCUCCAUGUGAAAUGAGAAGGCUUUCAGGUAUAAAGUCACAGAGCAAGAUGCCAAACAUCCCACCAUUUACCUAUCAUUUCAGGACCGUAUGUGCAAAGUUGCAGCAGAAACAAGCCACUAGGUCCAGCCCGAACUCAAAAAAGGGGAGACGUACACAAGGACGUGCCUACCAGGAGGUGGGGAUCAUUUGGGGCUAUCUUGGAAGUCUGCCCACCCACCACCCAGGUGAUUCCAACAUGUACCAGGGUUGAGAACCAUUGCUCUAGAAAAAGGAUG